rnacentral:circRNA from 1 species
AGCCUUAGAUCGUCUGUCAGUGAAGGAAUUCGGGCAGUUGAUGAACGAAUGUCUAAACAAGAGGACAUUAGGAAAAAAAAGAUGUGUGUAUUGAGGCUUAUACAAGUUAUUCGGUCAGUUGAGAAAAUUGAAAAAAUCUUAAACUCUCAAAGUUCUAAAGAAACCUCUGCACUAGAAGCAAGCAGCCCCCUUUUGACUGGACAAAUUUUGGAGAGAAUUGCCACAGAAUUUAAUCAGUUACAGUUUCAUGCUGUUCAAAGCAAAGGCAUGCCUCUUUUGGACAAAGUAAGACCGCGUAUAGCUGGCAUUACAGCCAUGUUACAGCAGUCACUGGAAGGUCUCCUAUUAGAAGGCCUUCAGACGUCUGACGUCGAUAUAAUACGGCACUGCUUGCGGACUUACGCCACGAUUGACAAGACACGGGACGCGGAGGCCUUAGUUGGCCAAGUACUAGUGAAACCAUACAUAGACGAGGUGAUUAUAGAGCAGUUUGUUGAAUCUCAUCCCAAUGGCCUUCAGGUCAUGUAUAAUAAACUCCUGGAGUUUGUUCCUCACCAUUGCCGCCUUCUUCGAGAAGUCACAGGAGGUGCCAUCUCCAG